CGCGAGACACAUGGUGCGAUUUUCCGUGCGAUCGGUCGUACGACUAUUCGCAUCGGCUGCCGCACUCAACGGUUUCCCAACAGAACCCGCCGCAUGCGGCGUCGCAUCGCACGCCGCGCAUGCGACCGACCGGCUGAAUAUUGUCAUGCGUCUGCCGCGUCGGUCGGACGGCCGCAGCCAAUGACAGCGCGGCAUCGAGCCCACGACCUCCGACAGCCCUGCUGCUCAAGGGACGCCAUUUUUUUAUUUCUUUGGCAGAAGCGGCGCUAGUCGGACGAAAAAGAAAAAUGAACGCCGCCGAAGUUCGUGCGAACGAAAAUGAAGUUUUAAUUGCAUUGGUUCGCGGGCACCGCGCGCUGUGGGACCAGGCAAGCGUGGACUACCGGAACACAACACUUCGCACCGCAAGCUGGAUUGCCGUCGCGAAGAGCUUAGGACUAGCAGGGACGAACGAUGACAUAGUAAAAAUAAGCAAACGAUGGCGAAACCUGCGGGACACCUUCGCCAAGAAGCUGAGGGACGCCAGAAAGAAGAGUGGAGCAGCAGCUGGGGAGCCCACAUCCUCGUGGAAGCAUUUCAAAGACAUGCUUUUUCUGCGAGACACUCUGGAGCCGCGGCCAACGACAACCAACCUCGACUUGGAUGAAGAUUCGGCGCAAGAAAUUCUGAGCCAAUGUUCCGAAAGCCCUUCCCAAAUACUCCUGCCCAUGAUUCACACAGAUCACACCGACACAGACACCACACAAACAAACACUAUUAAUUAUGCCCCAUCUACUUCUACAUAUCUUUCAGGCUCUGCAGCUCAUUCCUCUUCACAAUCUUUUCCUUCUUUGCCUUCUCCUCAAGAUGUUUCUACUGCCUUUUCACACAAUUCACCAACCUCUUCUCUAGAAAAAACACGAAAAACUAAGCGCAAGAAAGAUGACACAGACAGACUUCUUGAUGACAUAAACAAAGAGCUAGACACAAAGAUAUCAAACAACGAACACUUUUUAUUAUCCCUCAAUGGUCAAAUGAGCAGGGUGCCUGACCAUCUUUUGGGUCUGUGCAAGAUACAUAUCAUCGAUAUCCUGAACCACUAUGAGGCAGGAAUUGUCCCAACUAGCUUGGUGCCACUCAGGCCACCUCAAGAAGAGGCUAUGUAGCCUGUACAAAGAACUUUGU